rnacentral:rRNA from 2 species
GAGUUUGAUCGUGGCUCAGAUUGAACGCUGGCGGCAUGCCUUACACAUGCAAGUCGAACGGCAGCACGGGAGCUUGCUCCUGGUGGCGAGUGGCGAACGGGUGAGUAAUGCAUCGGAACGUAUCCUGGAGUGGGGGAUAACGUAGCGAAAGUUACGCUAAUACCGCAUAUUCUGUGAGCAGGAAAGCGGGGGACCUUCGGGCCUCGCGCUCUUGGAGCGGCCGAUGUCGGAUUAGCUAGUUGGUGAGGUAAAGGCUCACCAAGGCGACGAUCCGUAGCAGGUCUGAGAGGAUGAUCUGCCACACUGGAACUGAGACACGGUCCAGACUCCUACGGGAGGCAGCAGUGGGAAUUUUGGACAAUGGGGGCAACCCUGAUCCAGCCAUGCCGCGUGAGUGAAGAAGGCCUCGGUUGUAA